rnacentral:rRNA from 1 species
CGCUAUCACUCCUACGGGAGGCAGCAGUGGGGGAAUAUUGCACAAUGGGCGCAAGCCUGAUGCAGCAACGCCGUGUGAGUGAAGAAGGUUUUCGGAUCGUAAAGCUCUGUCCUAAGGGAAGAAACAAAUGACGGUACCUUAGGAGGAAGCCCCGGCUAACUACGUGCCAGCAGCCGCGGUAAUACGUAGGGGCAAGCGUUAUCCGGAAUCACUGGGCGUAAAGGGUGCGUAGGCGGCUUAGCAAGCCAGGGGUGAAAGGCAUUGGCUCAACCAAUGUAAGCCUUUGGAACUGUUAAGCUUGAGUGCAGGAGAGGUAAGUGGAAUUCCUAGUGUAGAGGUGAAAUUCGUAGAUAUUAGGAGGAACACCAGUGGCGAAGGCGACUUACUGGACUGUAACUGACGCUGAUGCACGAAAGCGUGGGUAGCGAACAGGAUUAGAUACCCUGGUAG